rnacentral:rRNA from 1 species
AAAACCCUUGAGGGCACUGGAGACACAACAUUACAGGANGUGUUAUGANNCAUGAUAAAAAAUAAACAAUUUUGGGCAAAAAAAUAUAUAGGAUCUUGCAUCCAUGAANAAAGUAGCGAAAUGGGGAACUUGGUGUGAAUCGCAGCAUCCCGUGACCCAUCGAGUUUUUGAACGCAAGUUGCGCCNGAAGCCAUUAGGUUGAGGGCAGGUCUGCCUGGGCGUCACAUAUCGUUGCCAUAUGCCCAAUGCCCAUCAUUGAUAGGCACUGUGCAGGGCGAAUGUUGGCUUCCCGUGAGCAUUGCUGUCUCACGGUUGGUUGAAAACUGAGUCCUUGGUAGGGUGUGUGCCAUGAUAGAUGGUGGUUGUGGACCCAGGCGCCAAUCAUGAUGGGCGUCCUNCACAGGCCUGGGGGACNCGGAUGAAAAUNUG